rnacentral:rRNA from 1 species
CCAAUAGCGUAUAUUAAAGUUGUUGCAGUUAAAAAGCUCGUAGUUGAACUUCAGGCCUGGCUGGACGGUCCGCCUUCCGGGCGAGUACUGUCUGUGGUCGGGUCCUACCUUCUGGCGAAGCGUCAUGGCCUUAACCGGCCGUGGCGGGGGACCAGGACUUUUACUGUGAAAAAAUUAGAGUGUUCAAAGCAGGCAAUUCGCUUGGAUACAUUAGCAUGGAAUAAUGGAAUAGGACAAUGGUUCUAUUUGUUGGUUUCUAGGACUGUUGUAAUGAUUAAUAGGGAUAGUUGGGGGCAUUAGUAUUCAAUUGUCAGAGGUGAAAUUCUUGGAUUUAUUGAAGACUAACUACUGCGAAAGCAUUUGCCAAGGAUGUUUUCAUUAAUCAAGAACGAAAGUUAGGGGAUCGAAGACGAUCAGAUACCGUCGUAGUCUUAACCAUAAACUAUGCCGACUAGGAAUCGGGCGAUGUUGACAAAAUGACGCGCUCGGCACCUCAUG